UACGAAGGGGGCUAGCGUUGUUCGGAAUUACUGGGCGUAAAGGGCGCGUAGGCGGUGUGUCAAGUCAGGCGUGGAAGCCCCGGGCUCAACCUGGGAACCGCGCUUGAGACUGGCACGCUCGAGUUCGGGAGAGGAUGGUGGAAUUCCCAGUGUAGAGGUGAAAUUCGUAGAUAUUGGGAAGAACACCGAUGGCGAAGGCAGCCAUCUGGACCGACACUGACGCUGAGACGCGAAAGCGUGGGGAGCAAACAGG
rnacentral:rRNA from 1 species